GAGGGUAUAGCUCAGUGGAAGAGCGUGUGCUUAGCAUGCACAAGGUCCUGGGUUCAACCCCUGGUACCUCCA
rfam:Camelus ferus unplaced genomic scaffold scaffold369, whole genome shotgun sequence.